ACUCCUCCUCCUCUCUGCUUCUUCUUCUGUUUUCUUUUCCUUCUUGCUGGUUCGCUGCUCCUACUGCUUCUGCUUUGCUGCUUCUUGGCUUCUUCUGGCUGCACGCCUGACCCGCAGCCGCCGUCCAGGUCACCGGAAACCGCUGCUCACCGCCGGAGACCGCCGCUGCCCACCGCACCACCAUUUCUUUCAUUUCUUGCUCGGUUUGCUUGGGUUUUUCCAAGCGGGAGUUCUAGACGAUGCCCGGCGGGAGUUCGGAUGCCGUCUGGUACCCGGGGUUGCCGGGGGGUGUUUGAUCCCAGACGAUGCCGAUCGCGGUGGAGGCCGGAUCGAUGCUCCUAAGUGGAAUGCCGUUGGGUACCCGGCUUGCCGGGGGGUGUUCGAUCCCCAACGUUGCCGUUGCCGACGUAGCGGGACGAUACUUGGUUACGCCAGUAGACCGGUGGGAGUUCGGUGGCCCGAGGGGCCGUUAAUAACCUGGAUACAUGUGAACGUAUGCUAUGCAUUGGUGAAUGCUCGAAAUCCGGAAUAUUGAGUAUGUUUCUUAUGAUUAUGCCAUGAUUUGAAGUGUGCUUGUUUGAUGAGCAAUUGGCCAUGUUAUGGCGAUAUUCUAACGUGCAGGGCUUGUGUAUGUGCCGAGGCGAGGUAAGGACGCCUGUGAUUGUUUAUGGCACGUCGAUU